rnacentral:rRNA from 1 species
AGAGCGAACGCUGGCGGCAGGCCUAACACAUGCAAGUCGAGCGCCCGUAGCAAUACGGGAGCGGCAGACGGGAUAGUAACACGUGGGAACGCGCCCUUCGGUUCGGAAUAACUCAGGGAAACUUGGGCUAAUACCGGAUACGCCCUUACGGGGAAAGAUUUAUUGCCGAAGGAACGGCCCGCGUCCGAUUAGCUAGUUGGUGAGGUAAUGGCUCACCAAGGCGACGAUCGGUAGCUGGUCUGAGAGGAUGACCAGCAUCACUGGGACUGAGACACGGCCCAGACUCCUACGGGAGGCAGCAGUGGGGAAUAUUGCACAAUGGGCGCAAGCCUGAUGCAGCGACGCCGCGUGGGGAUGAAGGCCUUCGGGUUGUAAACCCCUUUCACCAGGAGCGAAUUCAGACGGUACCGUGGGAAGAAGCGCCGGCUAACUACGUGCCAGCAGCCGC